rnacentral:rRNA from 1 species
UACGGAGGGUGCGAGCGUUGUCCGGAAUCACUGGGCGUAAAGGGCGCGUAGGCGGCCGUGUAAGUCACUUGUGAAAUCCCGGGGCUCAACUCCGGGGCUGCAGGUGAGACUGCGUGGCUAGAGCACGGUAGAGGCGAGUGGAAUUCCCGGUGUAGCGGUGGAAUGCGUAGAUAUCGGGAAGAACACCGGUGGCGAAGGCGGUUCUCUGGGCCUUACCUGACGCUGAGGAGCGAAAGCAUGGGGAGCAAACAGG